AUUGAACGCUGGCGGCAUGCUUUACACAUGCAAGUCGAACGGUAACAGGCCUUCGGGUGCUGACGAGUGGCGAACGGGUGAGUAAUGCAUCGGAACGUGCCCAAUCGUGGGGGAUAACGUAGCGAAAGUUACGCUAAUACCGCAUAAGCCCUGAGGGGGAAAGCAGGGGAUCGCAAGACCUUGCGCGAAUGGAGCGGCCGAUGUCAGAUUAGCUAGUUGGUGGGGUAAAGGCCUACCAAGGCGACGAUCUGUAGCGGGUCUGAGAGGACGAUCCGCCACACUGGGACUGAGACACGGCCCAGACUCCUACGGGAGGCAGCAGUGGGGAAUCUUGGACAAUGGGCGCAAGCCUGAUCCAGCCAUGCCGCGUGCGGGACGAAGGCCUCGGUGUAACCGACUUCUAGCCGGAAACGAAUACGACCAAGGACUAAUAAUACCUUGGUUGGAGUGACGGUACCGGAAGAAGAAG
rnacentral:rRNA from 1 species